rnacentral:lncRNA from 1 species
GAAGUUGUAUCUGAAGAUAAUUCGGGGGGGAGUAGGUGAUCAUUCUGAUGCCUGAUAACCCAGAGCAAUGAGCAAAUUCUAGGAAUGAUGAAUUAGGCUUGGUUUCAAGUUACAUAAAUAAUGGAACAGAUGGUUGCAUUUGGGUUCUGAACCACAGUAAGAUUUACUAAAGGAGGGGUGAGUUCUUAGAACAGAUCUUUACUAGGAUGACAAUUUAUACUGUUCCACAUACUUAAAACCCUUUAAAAAUAAAUCAGUUUCACAAAACUGUAUGUCAACUUUUUUUAAAGUCUGCUCCCCCAAAAUGUUGACCGCUUUCAUGAAUUUUCUUUAUAUAUUUGUACAAAAUUAGUCUUUAAAGUGAAAAACAGUGAUAUAAAAAUUUUACUAAUCAUCUGCUGCUCAUUUUUUAACUUUAAAAGUCUGAAAUACAUACUGUGUAAUACUGAAAUCUGUUUCUUCUAAAGGAAAUUUACAAUGAAAAGUUCACCUGUAUACACGGAGACAUGUAUUCCCCAAUCUUUUACCAAAUACAUUUUUGUCUAAUAUUUGUCUCUACUAAGACUUCAUUGAGAGUUAAAUAACAAAGCACAUGUAAUUGUUGCUCAGUUUUAAUAUUUUGAAUCAGAUAAUACUUGGCCAGGUUUAUAUUCAUAAGCUAAAAUUCCUUAUUAUUUGUAUUUUUCUGAAUUGCUUUAGUUUUCCUAUGAGAGCACAAAUUUUGAAAUUCUGAAAAAAAAAAUCCCAAAUGUUAAUACAAAAAAUAAUUUUUAAUAGGAAAAAGAGAAGGAAAAAUAGCUCUUUCCAACUUUUUCCUUCACUUCUAAAUUUCUGUAGUAAACCUCACGGUCUGGUGUAAAAUUUUAUUUUCUCAUUUGAGGUCUUAGUAGUUCUUAUUUUUUAACAUGGUGCCAUUUUUAGUUAACAUUUGUUAAAUGUUGCACAAUUCUUAGUUUUAGUAUAAUUGAGGCUCUUCUUACACUUUUAAAAGUAUUAGAAUCCAUGUGUUUUCAGUAUUAUGACAUUAUCUGCAGAUAUUUUAAUAUGCUUUGGCCAAAUUUACUUUCUAUAGAACGACCCACGAUACCAAUGUUGUACUGGGGAUAUGUUUUAUGUAAACAAAGCUCAUGAAAAAGUAUGAUUCAGGGACUACUAUUUUUUUAAUGAGGAAAUUCAUUUUUAAGGAGAGAAUCUUGGCCUGUGUGAAAACUGUUAAGGAUUAGACUUAUCCUUGGUGAAUGAUUUGGCUAUAACUGCAAUAUUUUUAUCUUUUUUUCUGAGACAAGAACUGUAUUGAAAACUGAAUCUGCAUUUAUCACUGCCUGAAAUAUUCUUUUCUGAUGUUUAUGAACUUUCUUUCAUUCAUGACCUAGAGUCAGACUUACUCUGUAUUUUCAUAAUCAAUUCGUCAAUAUAAUGAACUAAAAACGAAAAGUAAAAAUGAGUUCCUGAGUAAACAUGCCAGUGUUUCCUGUGUUUGUGAGUGGAAGUGCAAGUGGAGUAGUAUUAAUUUCUAGCAUUGUAGAAAAAAGGCCAAAAGAUCACAUUGGUUAAUUUUUCCAAACUGUAACUUUUAAGUAUUAAAAUGGUAUGUUUUUUUAGUAACUUAGACAUGGAAAUAAAACAUAUAUACUCAUUAAUGCACAGCACAAUAGACUUAUAGACAGAGAUUACUUCUGCUUUUAUGCUUAAAAAAGACAUGCUCAAAAAUAUUCCACAAAAAAGAGGAUUCUUUUUUUAAUUGCAGUGUUUGUAAUAGUCUCAAACCUGUCUUAAGCUAACACAGUUCUGUUAAUGUAAUUAAAAAUGCCUCUGCUAAUAUUUUUUAAAUAGUGUAGUUAUACAACCAGCUCCCUUCCAAAUUCUAAAGUUCAGCUUCAAAGUAUUGAACAUACACUCCUACCACUUAGGCUUCAAGUUCAUUUAUUGAAUACCAGGGAGUAAAUCUUAGAAUUGUAUAUAAAAUAAUGUGUCCCCCAUUCACAACUCAAUUUUAAGUAUUGCUUUUUGCUGCUGUAUUCUGCAUCGAGCCUAGUUCUGCCAUCCUCCCAUGAAUGAAUACACGUAUUCAUGUAUAUCCAUAGAUUAUACAUAACUAUGUCUGUUGCUUUUAACAGCAAAUGAAGAUUUUGUUGUAAUUUUCCAGCUGUGAAAAUGUUGCCCUGUAUUUAAAGGGGUUUCAUGAAUGGAAACCUAAAGUAAAACUCAGCUCGUUAGUCACAGACUUGCUUUCUUCUCAUCCUUCACCAACUCCUCCACCCUCGUAAGAGUGCUUGUUCUUCAGCAAAGAGAGCUCAAAAAAAAAAAAAAGAAAAAAAUUGCUGCCUUUAAUAUAUCUAUUAAUUGUUACCCUCGAGCUUUUAUUUUCUUCUGUAGCUUUUUAGAAAAAGCAGCCUACCCUGGAUUUGCAAAACAAGGUGAAACUUUGUGAUGUCUGUGUGCUCAUAUGUCUUAUAGAUACGGUUGGUGUCCCUCGCGUGUGUAAGUGAAAUUUGAAGCAUGCUCAUUUCCUCGAUCUCUUUGAAGUGAAAGGAGAAGGAUCGCAGUGCUGCUGGCUCAUGAUUGUAGAUGGAAGGGUCUGUCAGCCCACACCGAAAGCCCCCAUUUUCACAGAUUUAUAACUUUAAUAAUCCAGAUGCACUCAUUGGAAGUAUUUAAUAUGCAAUAGGUAGCACCUUAACUAAUUAAUCUGCAUAUGAAGGGUUUUCUGAUGUAUUUAAUAAGAAGUGUAGAAGCUCUUCAAGCAUUAAACUAGAGUUGACAUUUUAUUUCAUUUAUUUUCCAUGUCAAAAAAUCCACUCUUAUAAUGGAACUGAAGUCUGUAACAAAUGAUACAUUGGGCUUAUAAUCUUAACUCUUCUAGGUGGUUUGUAUUUUGAGGUACAAAAAAAUGCUGCAGAUCUAGAAAUGUAUAUAUUUAGCAGGUAUUUGAAAGAUACUAGCAUUAUUUAUAACUGAGGAGUAUUACAAUUACUAAGGAAAAUGCUCUAAUAACUUGUAUACAUUUUUGCAGGUACAAACUGAAAAGUAUGUAAACAUUACAUAAUGUGACAGUUGUGUAAUUUAUGUAAUCUGAUGCAUGAAUCAGAAUUUUUAUAUAAUAUAUAUGAUUACUGGUUUAUUAUAGUUGAUUAAAAGUGUUUAAUCUUG